AUAAAGGCGCCUAAGGUAGGGACUCAGUAUAUGUGCGCUUCAGGUUUCGGUUUUUCGGGUUACAGGCCUGUUUCGGUUUCAGUUUUUGGGUUGGCACGGUAUGCACUGUGGCUGGCAGACGUGCCUGGAAGCCCCAGGCUACCACCUUGGGGGACGCCCCGAGAGGACCGGGAGACUGAGGACGCUCAGCCAAACUCCCAUCAGAAAUUCCCCUAGGUGGGAGUUUUGUGCCAACAGCGGUUACAUUUUAGGUUUCAGUUUUUUGGGAAUUGCUUUUCUGUCUGUAACAUGGGUCAAACUGUGUCCACACCGCUAUCUCUUACUUCGGCUCACUGGCCUGAUGUGCGGGCUAGGGGAUCUAAUCUCUCUCUCCUGAUUAAGAGGGUAAAGCAGCAGUCUUUCUGUGCCUCUGAAUGGCCUGCUCUAGGAGUGGAUUGGCCCCCCGGAGGGCUCAUUCCAUUUACCACUCAUUCGCUGAGUGAAAGAGGCCAUUCUCCUGCCUGGCCGUCCUGGGCACCCGGACCGGGAUUUUGAGAAGACAUCGGAGGUCAGUAUUCCUUCCCUCAAGCGGGAUCGGAUCUGUGGAAGUGACCGUUGAGUGUCCGGCACCCCACAGCUCUCCGAGAACGCGGAGUCCCCCUGGCCACGGCUUAGCUACGGCCGAAACUCCAGAGGGAUUGUAAGGAACGGGAGGGAAAUUAGGAAGGGCUGCGACCCGAGGAUCAGGUCUCUCUCUCGGAGGGAUGCCUGGUCACCCUGCCUACUGCUACGCGAGCAGGGCUUAGCUUCGGUCGAGGCUAAUAUUGGCCCUUCAGGUAAACUCAGACAACUAGGUAGUGGGUAACCUUGAGUGAUAGGAGAUUUCAAACCCCACUCAGCCCCCAGACAGGAGGAGGUCAUUGCUUUCUGCCUUCCUCCUCCUCCCGGGGGCUCCUUCCCCCACUCUUUUGCUCUCCUCAUCUCCAUUCCUAUACCACUGGGCAGGAGAAAGGGAGAGGGAAAUUCCACAAGUCUCUGCACCUAGGGAAAAGCUGUUACCUGUUACCUAUCAACCCUUUCCAACCUGGUAAAAAGUUUUCCGUCUUUGCAGCUUAUGGUAGCUCUGGUGCGUCUUAAAGUUUUUUGUGAACUAUUACUGUUGCUAAGCUUUGAUUACCUGAGGACUAAAUCUGGAAAAGAGCUAAAGUUAACUAUCUGUUGUAAUUGACUGAGUGUCUGCAGUAGUCCUAAUUGAUCUGGCUUUGGUUAAAUUAUAAAAGGUUCCCAACACUCUUGGUGAAACGGCGCACCUACCCAACCCCACGGUUAGUCCUGCCAAGCCCUGGUGUGCGCAGUCUUUCCUGUAAAUGGGGGACCACAGCCUUUCUCUGCACUCUAUUCUAGUCCAAUGUGGCCUGGUGCACCCAGGCAGGCAUAGCCAAAUAUCUCUAGGCAGAGCCCCCACCCCAGCGCUGCUUCUUUUUCCUCUCCUGGAGGAAUUUCCAAUUCAAUACCACUGCUGACCUUACCUAAGGGAGCCAGAACCUUAAGCCAUUAACCCUUUCCAACCUGAUGGGUUUUUCUCUUUGCAGCUAAUGAAAACCUAAACAAUGGGUUCAUAUGCUGAUAAUCAGCUCUUUUCUGUGCUGCUGCCCCUGACUCAUCUGAGAGCGUUCACCUGUCUUGAAGAAGGGAAGUUACUACUGUUCUGCAGGACUCUCCACUGUGACGUACGGUUUGAUCCCCAGACCUUAUGUAAGGGAUGACUGACCUUUUCUGUAAUAAUGCCUGGCCACAGUAUAGGGCCCCAAACAACAACAACAACAACAAAAAAGGUUAAAGUAUAAAAUAAUAUGACAACUAGAUCAAUUUUUCGGUGUAAAAAGUUACACUGACGACCUCAAAGUAUGCAAGCAGGUCACCACAGUUGAUCUUACCUAAAGGGUCAUAGUUCUCCUCAUGGGCAUGGUCUUAACUCGCAGGAAAAUACUAAGUGUCAGAAUUUGCCCAUGACCAUAGUUUUUCUAGCUCACCCUAAUAUUAAAAAAUCUCCAAAAAUCAGGAUUGGGUUGAGCACCCCCUUGACUGACAUCAUAGAGGCUGCCUCCUUGGUCUGCUUUAUUAGAGACCAGGAAAACAAGGAGCAAGCAAGCAGCAGAGGAUAGGCAACAGACCAAUCAAUGGCUGCUUUACACGGUGAUUGCCAUCAAGGAGACCCAGCAAGGCCAGUGCACCCCAAACGGCACCUGUUGCUGAUAUAAGGAGCCAGGGCAUUGGGCAAGCAGCUGUCAUGACAGCAAAUGCCUUCUGUCAGCCCUGCCAAGAGCACGGUCACUGGACACGGAACUGCCCUGGGUGUCGAAGGACUCCUGGUUCAGAACCGCAGACCCUGUGGCCCCGAGCUAAAAAGCCUUUGGCUCUGCCCAGCCUCUGCCCAGCUUCCAGCUCCAGCCACUGCUAUUGAGGGGAUGGCCUAGGGUCAGUGAAACGCAAGUUGCCUAUUUCUAUCAGCCUCCUAUUCAGCUCUCCUCCUAGUCCAGCCGUGUAAUGCAAGUCAACAGGGUGCCUCCCUUAAAGGAGAUUUGCAUCUCUUUCAAUUCUCUUCCAGCAUCCCAUGGAUAGGUCUGGGCCUCACACACCCAGCCAUGCCUUAAAAGUCUAUCCAAUAACAUUAAGCUUAGAAAGCCCUCCCUGCCAGUUCCUAAAAACAGGGCUUUCAGUAACAGUUAACUCAGAUAGCCCUACACCUAUUUGGACAAGUCCUCACUGAGGACUUAAAGGGCCUAUCUCUUGAGGGGGGUGCACAAUAAUCCAUAAUAUAAAUAAUUAAAUGUAAAUAAUUCAUUAAUCUGUCUUCUUUCCCAGCCUGAGACUCUAGUCUUGUACAUUGGCUUAACUUCCUAGCAAAACUGGCUACUAGAUAUCCAAAAAAUAUAUAUAUAUAUUGUCUCUGGGUCAAUCAGACUAGACAGACACAAACCCAAAUUUGUACUUUUCCUGGAAAAAGCCAAACAGCUCCAGGACCAGGCCAAGCAGGGCUGGGAUUUCUGGCCUGACAUCUGGUCCCGGAAAUCCUGGCUAUGUCCUCUCCUUGGCCCACUAACUUCUGCAAUCUUGAUGCUUCUCUUUGCACCGUGUGUUUUUAAUGCCCUUGUUCAUUUUGUCUCUAACAGACUAAAAGCUGUUGAACUCCAAAUGGUCAUCAGGCAAGACUUCCAGCCCAUUCCCCUGGAUGACUUGAGCAGCACUCUGGACCGAGCAACACAGUCUUUCCAAGGCCACUGUUGCACACCAUAAGACAGGUAGCAAGAGGAAAUACCCAAAUCCCCCUCGACGCCCACAUGCCAGCUUUGAAGAAGUUACAGAAAACGGAACUCCAUCCAUAAUCCCAAAGAAGAAUUUUGGGUAUUACCUCUUGAGGGAAAAAUAUUAGGCAGAAAGUCAGUUAUGAGCUUAUGUGUGUGUGACAUAAAGGCCUAAUGUGCCCAGCAUAUGCAUCUGCAUCUCAGUCGUCCUGACAAUGUUUCUCGGGCAGCCCGGCCUUUACAUCCUGCCCUGCCCCCUUCUACCUGAUAACCUGCCAGGUGGAGAUCCCCGCCCCUUCUGCCUGACAAAUCUUCCACAAUCUCCCAGGUGCAGCCCAGUAUCUGCAUUUCAGUAUUACAGAACAGGCGGGGGUUGGAUCUUAUUUUCAUGGGGGGGGGGGUGUUAUGCACGGCCCUAAAGGAAAAAUGUUGUUUUUAUGCUGACUGAACCCAGGUGGUUAGAAACUUCAUGGCCAAACUCAAAAAAACAACUGGAAAAACGGCAACGGGAGAGGGAAACUCAACAGAAAUGGUUUGAGUCAUGGUUCGGCCGGUCCCCAUGGCUUACUACCCUACUGUCAGCCCUAGCAGGACCCUUAAUUGUUCCUAAUUGUAACCAUAGGACCUUGUGUGUUAAAUAGACUCAUCACCUUCAUGCGGAAACAAGUUAAAAAUGUUAAACUCAUGGUCAUAAACAACAAUAUGUCACAUUAAAAAAAAAUAAUCUCUAAGAUUAGAGAUCCUCACAACAAGGAGUGGGGAAUGAAGAGUUAAAAUUGUAUAUGUGCGGGUGUAAAAAGUUAAGCUUAAGCUUACAGGUUUAAACCUUCCUGGUGCAGCUGUAAAAAUAAAACAGAGUGAAGUAGCACCUUGACAGUAGGGACUCCAUUUUGGAGCACUUGAGACUGCAUUCUGGGAAAGCAACCCCCCCACCGUGAGACUCUGGUCUGAAACUAUGAUCUCAAAUAGUCGGACAAUAGCAGUGCACUACAUCACCCUUGGCAGAGCACAAAACCCCCUAGCAUGAUUGCUCAAGCUUAAAAGUAGAAAGGUUGCACCUGGGUUACCUGGGCUAAUAAUGAAGAUGUGAUUUGUCUAUGUCUUAAGAUCAUAAUUGCUGAUUGUAAGACUUUAGCAACCGCUUAACAACCGUGUAUUCUCUCCCCCCUUCCCGGUUUUGCGGUUUUUGCCUUUAUAAACCCUGACCUUUGGUUAUUCGGGGCUGCUCUGCUCAUGAUGAUCAGACAGCCCCAGCAUGCUGGAUAAUCAAUAAAGCUUCCCCGUGCUGUCUGCAUAAGAGACGUGUCUCUUGGUGACGUUUUUCGGGCGGUCGACUCUAACAAAACCCACCAGCAUCUACUCCCACACUCAGCCUGGAGGCUGACAGCCAAAGGCACCCCUCACCACCUCCACACACAGCGAUGUCCGACUCUGCCCCACCGUCCAGCUCAGGCAAACAGCUGGAACACGAACAGGCGUUUCACCCACGAAGUUUUCUCUGAAUUCUCUUGCCUUGGUGUUUCCACCAGCUGGCACUGGGAAUCUUAUCCAAUCCUAAUCUAAACCUCAAACUGGGAGAUCUGCCUUGAACCAAACCUCCAAUUUCUGCCCUUCGGCUCACCUAUGAUAAAGCAUUGCCAGGUAGCGUUAUCUUAUCAACAGCUUAUGCUGGCUGCAUUUGGAGCGCCAGUUUUUUUCUUUUAGAUUGAUUGAUUUGAAAGGCAGAAACACAGAGAUCUUCAAUCUGCCGUUUCAUUCCCCAAAUGGUAGCAAACGCCAGAAUUGGGCCAGUCAGAAGCCAGGAGCCUCCUCUGGGUCUCACACGGGUGCAGGGGCUGCAACACUUGGGCAUCUUCCACUGCUUUCCCAGGUGCACCAGCAGGGAGCUGGGUUGGAAGCAGAGCCCAUGUGGGUCAUGGCGUUGCAAAAGGAGGCCUAACCUUCCACACCACAGCGCGAGUGCGGAUUUCUGAGAUGAACACAACCCACAAGGAGCAGGCUAAAUAAUGUGGGUUAUUUUUACGUAUGUGUAUGUGUGUUUUAGGAUUUCUUCCCUGGCUUCCGUAGCCAUUUUUAUUUUAAUUUUUCAAAUUCCUAAUUAGUUUUUAACAGAUCCAAUGUGAUUUACAGAUACAAUUCUAAGAAUACAAUAUUCUCUUCCUCCCUCCCCUAAAUGUUUGCAGUCUGGGGGUAUUCAAACAGCCUCAGCAACAGUGCUUGCCCUGGUACAGUGGAGCCUGAGACAACGAAUCUUUAAAGUUCUAUUUUAUUCGCUCGAUCUUCUUGGUAUUUUUUUUAAGAUGACUGCAUUAAAACAGUAUUUUUUUUAAAGGAUCCUUGAGUUUUAUGUCCGAGGGGGAUGUCCCACUCAGUUUACACUAUUCCCAGUACAGUUCUGUUACUAAAAUAAGUAAAAUAAAGCCAAGGGGUUAAGUCCGUUGUUCAACAUGACAAGGGUAAAUUAUGCAGACGACAGAGGAGGUAGUGCGCGACUUUCAUUAUCGUGGCAUGAAAUCACAAGGUAACCGAAACGAACUCAUGAGCAACAGCCUGUAAGUCAUCAACUGGCAGUAUUUUUCAGAAUUACAACUAAAAACUCUGGUGGUGCGUGGGGACGCCCCCUUCCUGCCCUUGGAAAUGCUCCCAUACCAAGAUUCUAAAACGCGGGCCUGGAUCACUUUCGUGACCGCGACAGUAACAGCGAAACCAAACCAGCGCGGGUUCCAAGACCGGCCUACGGGCAGCACCGCCCUCGGCCUCACCCCAAAGCCAGGAGCUCCAAAUUAGCCGGGCCGCGCCGGCCACCCGCGCCCAGGUCCCCGCCCCUGCGUGGCAAGGACAGCCUAUUCUAGCAAAAGGUAACCGGAGUUACUCCGCGGCGCAACUGUGGCUCCGGCCUUCCCCCCCAAUCCGGGAUUCUUCUAGGACACACUCCCCUCUACUCCCGCCCUCAUCUUAGCCCCAAAGCCGCCCUCCCAUCACUUCCGGGUAGGACUCCGCGCUCGGACCCGGAAGUGGCAGGCGGGCAAGACCCAGGGCGCAAGCGCAGUCCCGCCUGUGCCUCGUUGUCCCGCCCCUUCCAAGUCUCCCGGCCAACCUGUUCCGGGCGUCGCCGGGGCUUCAGGUUCUCUUUCCGUCUCGCGUGAUCACCUGACGGGGAGGGGCGGGAUACCGGAAGCGCUUCACUCCCUCCCCCAGCUCGACAAUUUCUCGACUUUCUGGGCUGGUGUCCCCCUCGAGGGGGUCGCUCGGGGUGGGGGUGGGGUCUCCCCUGACCGGCAGCGGGGACUGGUCUGCCCCGCGGCCUGCGGCGGGCGCUGUGGGAGGUGCCGCCCGCGCCCACGCCUCAGCCAGUCACGCGCCGAGAGGCCGCGGCGAAGGAGAAGGGGCGGGGCGGGGCGGGGCGGGGCGCUGCGUGGGGGCGGGGCCUCGCGCUGUCCCGGAGCGGCUCUUAGGGCCGGACCCGCGCUGACCCUGCGGACACCCGCCGCCGCCGCCGCCGAGCCCAGCACUGCCCACCAGCUGCCACCAUGAACCCGGACCUGCGCAGGGAGCGGGCCUCCGCCACCUUCAACCCGGAGCUGAUCACUAACCUGCUGGACGGCAGCGCGGAGAAUACCCGGCGCCGUCGGGAGAUCGAGAGCUUGAUCCUGAACGACCCCGACUUCCAGCACGAGGACUUCAACUUCCUCACGCGCAGCCAGCGCUACGAGGUGGCCGUCAGGAAAAGCGCCACCAUGGUGAGGAAGAUGAGGGAGUUCGGCAUCGCGGACCCCGAGGAGAUCAUGUGGUUUAAGAAGUAGGUGUGCCCGCCGGCCGGGUGUUUUGUGGUUUGGGGGCCACUUUCAAGCUCAGUGUGUGGGAGACAGCGCCGGCUUCCGUGUGGCUGGGGUCUGCCGGUGUCCACCUCGGUCUCGCUAGAACGCUCCUUGGUCUCCAGCUUCUGCGUUUGUCCAGCGCUGUGAAGUGCGAAAUGACUUCGCUUUUUGUCAGGGUACCUGCGUUUCCGAACCCGAAAGGUGUUUGUUUUUCCCCCAAGUUGCAACACCAAACCCUCUGUGUGUGUGGAGCAGGAGCGGAUUCUGUUUUCGUAGAGUUGUGAGGAUCUUGGGAUUCCCACUUCUGGGAAUACGUGGGCAGCGGGGAGGGGCUCAAGCCUCGGAGCGAACACCAGGCGUUCCGAGAACCCGGGGUUGUUGAGUCCCUGGCUGACUGAACGGCUGUCCCGGCAAAGUCAGGACCCCCCCCCCCCCCCCCCACUGCAAAUAAAAGCCGUCUACCCGAUCCUGGGACACGGUCUCCGGCCUGUCGCGGCUCCUACACUUGCCAUUGUUCCUGGGCCUUUCUACGUUUUAGGGGGACUCCUGUAUCGCGAGCAGUGAGGAUUCAGGCUGUGACUGCUGGAUUUUCAAGAAUGCAGACAAAGGAAACAUGUUCUAAGUGCCGCCCUUGUGUAGUGAUGCUUACUCCUUCCUUGUAUGCUGCCUCUGGCGCCUGGUGUCUGUUUCCAACUUGACGUGAAUGAAACGGGUUAUUUUGGACAGUAGGGCUCUCCUCAGACUGCACAUCCAGUUUCAGUUAUGAAGGCACUUGGUUGGUUGGUUGGUUGGUUGGUUUUUGGUAGCCCAGAUCUGGAGUACUCACCAGCUUCCAAAUGCUCUCUAUUGUUUUUAGUUUGAAAUUCAUAGCUGUGGGGAUAUUGAGGUAGAGUAACUCUUAGAAGAUUAUGUUACUGAGUGACAUGAGUUGGCUUUGAAAACUUUCAAAAUUAGUAAGGUUUUAUUCCUCAGGAAAAACAAGAUGAAGAGGAUUUUAUUUUUGUUGUGUUUUUCUAAAUGGCUGAUGCGUUGUGUUUCAGAGUUGGUAGCGACGAUUUCCUAACCUCCGGUAGUUCAUGUGUAACCAGAACAGGUGAAGUCACGGUGAAACAGAGCAGAGUCCUCCGUGCGGGUUAAAGGUCUGUGGACACCAGCCAGUUUUGUGGAUUAUUUUUCGUGUGGCGUCUUAAAGUACAAACUCUAACACACCCUUUGACAUCUCUCCAAUGUCCCUAAGUUGUGAUAGGGAGAUCAGUUCAAGCUAGAGAUGAGGAUUGAAAAUUAAUCUUGGCAAGUACUGCGCAUCUGAGCCUGGUUACACAAUCCCAUCAGCGUUGCAAUCCCGUAGGUAAUAAUGCAGCAGUGUUUUGACUGUGACUCAAAAAUAAUGGGACAGGAAGCUGUGACUUAUCAGUAAUUGUGAAGUACACUGGAUUUCUUACUUGUUAAAAUGGGGCAGGAUGCUGGAAUUGACAUAACAGCAAGAUUUCUGUAAUUUUUGGUAUUUACGCCUUUUAUAUCAAUUUCUCUUAUCACAAAAUAAAAUUAUUUAUUUAUGAGACUGUUUUGAAGUUGGCUGAAUAUUAGAACAUAACUUAGAGAUCUCUUUUUUUUAUUUUAUUUAUUUAGUUGAGAGAGUUACAGACAGGGAGAGGGAGAAGCAGAGAAAAAUGUCCUCCAUCCACUGAUUCACUUCCCAAAUGGCCGCAAGGGCCAGAGCUGAGCUGAUAAGCCAGGAGCGAGGAGUCUCUCUGGGUCCCCCACGCUGGUGCAGGCGCCAAGCACCUGGGCCAUCUUCCACUGUUUCCCCAGGCCAUUAGCAGAGAGCUGGAUCAGAAGUGGAGCAGCCGGACUCAAACCAGCGCCCAUAUAGGAUGCCGCUAUUGCAGGCAGCCGCUUUACUCACUACACCACAGCCUGACAACCCCUCAUUUUGGAAAAGAACAUAUCUGGGGCCGGCGCCAUGGCUCACUUGGUUAAUCCUCUGCCUGUGGCACUGGCAUCCCAUAUGAGCGCUGGGUUCUAGUCCCGGUUGCUCCUCUUCCAGUCCAGCUCUCUGCUGUGGCCCGGGGAGGCCGUGGAGGGUAGCCCAAGUGGUUGGGCCCUGCACCCACAUAGGAGACCAGGAGGAAGCACCUGGCUCCUGGCUUCAGAUUGGCGCAGUGCUGACCGUAGCAGCCAUUUGGGGGUGAACCAACGGAAGGAAGACCUUUCUCUCUGUCUCUCUCUCUCACUGUCUAACUACCUGUCAAAUAAAAAAAAAGUAAUUAAAAAAAAGAGAAGAAAAAGAACAUAUCUAGUGGCCUUUGUUGUGUCCCACGUGUUUCACUGUUUCCUUGGAUGACUUUAUAAACCUCAGAGUGCUUUACUGAAUUACUCAGCCUUCUCAGUUCCCUUUAGGGAACACAAGUGUCUUACAUUUCUACCAUUUUUAGUAACAGAAUUACAGGUUUUUUUUCCUCAGAAGUGCAUAGGAAAAGAAAUAGGGAAUGGGUUAAUACUGCUGGUUUUAGUAAGAAAGGCUUGGUGUGUGGUGCUAUGCUGUUGUUCCCUAU